ACUUUGAGGGGCACUGAGUGCACGCACAUCUGCUCCAGUUUUAAAGUGGAACAUCUAUAAAGUGAUCCCUGAAGAGCUUACAAUGGGAAUCCAGCAGAAACGAUCCUUUGGAUAUCUCUUUGUGCCGCAUGAGGAGGGAAGCAACGAAGUGCUGUGAAUUAGCCCGAGCUGUAGAGAUUGUAGGCAGUGCUGGUGGCGGUGCGCGCAGAGCCUCCCCGCGCGGCGCCGAGCGGAGCAGCCCCCCCUCCCCUGGCCGCCAUGGCUCUCUAAGGGCGGCAGGGCCAGCGGCGGCACCGGCCAGUGCACCAGGCGCAGCAGCAGCGGCGGCGGCCUCGGCACAUCCCCGGCAUCUGCAACCAUGGCGUGAGUAUCGGGUGUGAGGGGCGGGAGCUCGCUCCCCUG
rnacentral:lncRNA from 1 species